rnacentral:rRNA from 1 species
AUUGAACGCUGGCGGCAGGCCUAACACAUGCAAGUCGAGCGGCAGCGGGAAAGUAGCUUGCUACUUUUGCCGGCGAGCGGCGGACGGGUGAGUAAUGCCUGGGAAAUUGCCCAGUCGAGGGGGAUAAGAGUUGGAAACGACUGCUAAUACCGCAUACGCCCGACGGGGGAAAGCAGGGGACCUUCGGGCCUUGCGCGAUGGGGUAUGCCCGGGUGGGAUUAGCUAGUUGGCGAGGUAAUGGCUCACCAAGGCGACGCUCCCUAGCUGGUCUGAGAGGAUGAUCAGCCACACUGGAACUGAGACACGGUCCAGACUCCUACGGGAGGCAGCAGUGGGGAAUAUUGCACAAUGGGGGAAACCCUGAUGCAGCCAUGCCGCGUGUGUGAAGAAGGCCUUCGGGUUGUAAAGCACUUUCAGCGAGGAGGAAAGGUUGAUGCCUAAUACGUAUCAACUGUGACGUUACUCGCAGAAGAAGCACCGGCUAACUCCGUGCCAGCAGCCGCCGUAA